rnacentral:rRNA from 1 species
UACAGAGGGUGCGAGCGUUGUUCGGAAUUAUUGGGCGUAAAGGGCGCGUAGGCGGCGCCACAAGUCACUUGUGAAAACUCUGGGCUCAACUCAGAGCCUGCAAGCGAAACUGUGGUGCUGGAGUAUGGGAGAGGUGCGUGGAAUUCCCGGUGUAGCGGUGAAAUGCGUAGAUAUCUGAAGGAACAUCAGUGGCGAAAGCGACUUCCUGGACGAAUACUGACGCUCAUGUACGAAAGCGUGGGGAGCAAACAGG